rnacentral:rRNA from 1 species
GAUGAACGCUGGCGGCGUGCUUAACACAUGCAAGUCGAACGGAGUGGCGAACGGGUGAGUACCACGUAGGUGCUCUGCCUUGCACUUCGGGAUAGACUUGGGAAACUCGGUCUAAUAUCGGAUAGUGCAAGAUGAGCUGGGGGCCUAUCAGCUUGUUGGUGGGGGAAUGGCCUACGAAGGGGUCGACGGGUGGCCGGCCUGAGAGGUGGUACGGCAACAGUGGGACUGAGAUACGGCGCAGUAUCGUACGGUAGGCAGUGGUGGGGAAUCUUGCCCAAUGAGCGGGAGCCUGAUGCAGCGACGCCGGGUUGGUGAUGAAGGCUUUCGGGGUGUAAACGCCUUUCGACAGGGACGCGGUACCUGUAUAAGAAGCACCGGCUAACUACGUGCCAGCAGCCGCGGUAAUUC